AMGGGGAUUCCCUAGUAACGGCGAGUGAACCGGGAAGAGCUCAAAUUUGAAAUCUGGCGUCCUCAGGGCGUCCGAGUUGUAAUCUAUAGAGGCGUUUUCCGUGCCGGACCGUGUCCAAGUUCCUUGGAACAGGAUAUCAAAGAGGGUGACAAUCCCGUACUUGACACGACGACCGGUGCUCUGUGAUACGUCUUCUACGAGUCGAGUUGUUUGGGAAUGCAGCUCAAAAUGGGUGGUGAGUUCCAUCUAAAGCUAAAUAUUGGCGAGAGACCGAUAGCGAACAAGUACCGUGAGGGAAAGAUGAAAAGCACUUUGGAAAGAGAGUUAAACAGUACGUGAAAUUGUUGAAAGGGAAACGAUUGAAGUCAGUCGUGACCGAGAGGCUCAGCCGGUUCUGCCGGUGUAUUCCCCUCGGUCGGGUCAACAUCAGUUUUGUCCGGUGGAUAAGGGCGGUAGGAAGGUGGCACCCUCGGGUGUGUUAUAGCCUGCCGUCGCAUACAUCGGGUGAGACUGAGGAACGCAGCUCGCCUUUAUGGCCGGGGUUCGCCCACGUCCGAGCUUAGGAUGUUGACAUAAUGGCUUUAAACGACCCGUCUUGAAAMMACGGGACMCAAAAA
rnacentral:rRNA from 1 species